GAUGAACGCUAGCUACAGGCUUAACACAUGCAAGUCGAGGGGAAACGAUGAGAGAGCUUGCUCUCUUAGGCGUCGACCGGCGCACGGGUGAGUAACGCGUAUCCAACCUACCCAUUACAGGGGGAUAACCUUGCGAAAGUAAGACUAAUACCCCAUGGCAUUUUAUGGUGGCAUCAUUAUAGGAUUAAAGAUUUAUUGGUAAUGGAUGGGGAUGCGUCUGAUUAGCUUGUUGGCGGGGUAACGGCCCACCAAGGCAACGAUCAGUAGGGGUUCUGAGAGGAAGGUCCCCCACAUUGGAACUGAGACACGGUCCAAACUCCUACGGGAGGCAGCAGUGAGGAAUAUUGGUCAAUGGGCGAGAGCUUGAACCAGCCAAGUAACGUGCAGGAUGACGGCCCUAUGGGUUGUAAACUGCUUUUAUAGGGGAAUAAAGUGAGCUACGUGUAGUUUAUUGCAUGUACCCUAUGAAUAAGGACCGGCUAAUUCCGUG
rnacentral:rRNA from 1 species